UCUUUGAAUAAAGGUAGCUGGAGAGCAGGUCUACAUUAUGCUGGGAGGGGAAGCCUGCAGCCGCUUCAGUUCUGUAUGCACCUGAGAAGUCUUUCAGUGAGGAAAACCCAACCAAUAAAAAAGCUGGGAGGGCACGCUGGAAUUCACAAUUUUCGUCUUCCUCAGCAUCACUCAACAACACAGCGUCUGCAGUGCUUUCUGAACUACCAUGGCUUCUCUCUCAGCAGCAGACAAAAGAAAAGUCCUCAAGACACUUUGCUGUCUCAGGUGAAAAACGCUGUGGGAAAGAAAAUACGUGGAAGAGGAGAGCAUCCCUGAUCCAAGAACGUCCUUGCCAUGCGUUGCAAGACUGCGUGUUGUGAAGCACAUUACUCCCGCGAUGCUAGUACAAGUGCAGCUCUAAACACAGUGUCAACCUUUUAGAAAGGCAAAAAAGGUAAAGUAGUAGUAUAAAUAAUAGAGCUAACAAAAAAAAAACCCUAAGAAGUGGGGACAGCGCAGAAAGUUCCAGCAGGGAAAUGAAUGCCACAACGCAGCCGGCGGUCUGAUCAAAGUUAUUAACCACUGAGUUGAGAAAAUUAAGCGGUCAGUGCCAGACUGGCACUUUUGUCAUACCCUGCCUGGGUUUUCUAGGUUAUUCGCACACGGUCUAUGCCACGGCGCUGCGGAUUCCCAGCGUCGCUCCCAUCUGUAUCCAGCCGCUCAGCCCAGCGUGUUCAGUCCCGACGGAGCAAGCUGGCCAAUGCCACAGCGUUGACGAGGAUUUUCCCAGAAGCGGGAACUGCCAGCGCUCCAUGAAAGUCUGAAUUUUCACAGAUUUUAAUGUGGUGGAAAGAAAACAACGCGUGUGGGUGUUGCUCGCCCAGGGCAGCUCUGGCCUGGCCGUGUUCUUGCACUUUUUCAGGGCUUGGUGAAUUACCGUGAGCGAGCUUGGAGCUGACAAACCGCAGAUCAYUGCGGCACCCGAAAAAGAAAAAAAUCCAGCUUUUCUGACCAAGCUGGAAGCAAAAGUGGGUGAUGUUCACUGCUGCCCUGCCCGAACCCUCCAGCUGCAGCAUCUGCUSUCUGCUGGGCAGAGGCCCUAAAGGGGCCAGAGGGGAUCAGGGCCACGGUGCUCCCCAGCCACGGGACUCACUGGCAGAGCAAAUUCCCAGAGGAUGUUAAAGAUGCUCCCGCGGGCGAGGGGUGGCCAGGGCAUCGCAGGAGAGGGGCACCGGCUUCGCCCAGGCUCGGUGGGACCGCGCAGACCUCUCGCCUGCCUUCAGCUUUUUCUUCUGUGGAUAGGAUAAUUAGGAUUUCUUCUUUCCUGCCCCUAUAC
rnacentral:lncRNA from 1 species